GAUGAACGCUGGCGGCGUGCCUAAUACCUGCAAGUCGAGCGAAGCGGGGACGGGUGAGUAACACGUGGAUAACCUCCUAUAAGACUGGGCUAACUUCGGGAAACCGGUGCUAAACCGGAUACUUAUAGAUGGAUCCGCGCUGCAUUAGCUAGUUGGUAAGGUACCGGCUUACCAAGGCAACGAUGCAUAGCCGACCUGAGAGUGUGAUCGGCCACACUGGCACGGAGACACGGCCCUGACUCCUAGGGGAGGCAGCAUUAGGGAAUCUUCCGCAAUUGACGAAAGCCUUACCGAGCAACGCCACGUGAGUGAGGAUGGUAUUCGGAUAGUAAAACUCGGUUUUGAGGGUAGCGUUAUCUAAUCAGAUAGCAUCGGCUGACUACGUGCCAGCAGCCGCGGUAAUAC
rnacentral:rRNA from 1 species